AGUGAACGCUGGCGGCGUGCUUAACACAUGCAAGUCGAACGAGAACGGAUAUUAGCUUGCUAAUAUUGUCAGCUAAGUGGCGCACGGGUGAGUAAUAUAUAGGUAACGUGCCCCAAAGAAGAGGAUAACAGUUGGAAACGACUGCUAAAACUCUAUAUGCCUUUAAGACUAAAGUCUGCAAGGGAAAUAUUUAUAGCUUUGGGAUCGGCCUGUACAGUAUCAGAUAGUUGGUGAGGUAAUGGCUCACCAAGUCAAUGACGCUUAACUGGUUUGAGAGGAUGAUCAGUCACACUGGAACUGAGACACGGUCCAG
rnacentral:rRNA from 1 species